AAAGUCUGACAGACAAUCGCUGGCAGCCGCGCGCUGCGAGAGGAAAGUCCGGGCUCCACAGGGCAGGAUGCUGGAUAACGUCCAGUCGGCGCGAGCCGAAGGAUAGUGCCACAGAAACGGACCGCCGAUGGCCGGCUCAGCCGGCACAGGCAAGGGUGGAACCGUGGUGUAAGAGACCACGAGCGGCUAUGGCGACAUAGCGGCUGGUAAACCCCAUCUGGAGCAAGACCGAAGAGAAUGCGGCGGCAACGCAGCUCUGGCACCGGAGUGCAUUCGGGUUGGUCGCUUGAACGGAUCAGCAAUGAUUCGUCUAGAUAGAUGAUUGUCGCUUCAUCGUGGGAGGGUCGUUCCCGUCUGCACCACCAGAAGCACAGAACCCGGCUUACGGCAGACUUUCCGU
rnacentral:RNase_P_RNA from 1 species